UACGGAGGGGGCUAGCGUUAUUCGGAAUUACUGGGCGUAAAGGGCUCGUAGGCGGCCAACUAAGUCAGACGUGAAAUCCCUCGGCUUAACCGGGGAACUGCGUCUGAUACUGGAUGGCUUGAGUUUGGGAGAGGGAUGCGGAAUUCCAGGUGUAGCGGUGAAAUGCGUAGAUAUCUGGAGGAACACCGGUGGCGAAGGCGGCAUCCUGGACCAACACUGACGCUGAGGAGCGAAGGCCAGGGGAGCAAACGGG
rnacentral:rRNA from 1 species